AGGGAAAUUAGUUAAAGAAAUAACGUACGCUUGUCAAGCUUAGAUUACUGUAGUAUAUACAGUAUUUCCCUU
rnacentral:tRNA from 1 species